GGUCCUGCUGGAAAGAAAACAGACCCGACACUGCAAAACUAACUGCAUAGCUGAGGCCCUGUUUUGUCUUUACGAAUAUAAUUUAUUCAUCAAGUUUAAAGAAAUCUACAGAUUAGUGGGGAGAGUAGCUGGAUGAAGAGAGAACUUCUGUAAUUAGAAAUUUGAAGAGGGGCACCUGGGUGGCUCAGUCGGUUAAGUGUCCGACUUGAUUUCGGCUCAGGUCAUGAUCUCACGGUUUGUGAGUAUGAGCCCUGAAGUGGGCUCCAUGCUGAAGAAAAAGAAAUCUGAGAAGGAACAAAUCCAAAAUUGCUUACGACAGCCAUGUCCAAAUACCCUACCUCUUCCAUCCACCCGUCUUCUCGGGGAAGCCUCUGCAACCGGUUUCUCGUCAGCUCAAGCUGCAGGCCAUCGAACCUGCACUUAAACCAGCGAUGAGCUUCUUCCAGGUUAGCUGUUAUCUGGACAUACAAGCGUUAUCAUUAAACAUUACAACAAAGAAAUAGUUUUUUGUGUAUUGGUUCAAGAGACUUUUUACCUAGAUGUUAAAAGACCCAAAUUCUGAGUGCAAGGUCCUUGUAACCUAUUUGCAUAAUAUCCAUUCUACAGAUGACAGAGAUUUCUGAAUGUAGAGCUGAGGGAUGCCUGCAAGCCUGUUGCUUUUUCAUGCAUUUGUUCCUAUUUCUUGGGCGUGACCUAAGGUCUGUUUGUAUACCCUAAUGCCGGUGAUACUCACACCCUGCCCCCCACCAAAGGCAGUGUCCAGCACUCUUUACCAGGAGUGGAGGGAAAGAUGCUUGAAAUGGCCCUGUACAUCCAUCCUAUCUCCUCUUGUUUGGUAAAUGAGAAGGGAGGCACCGUUUACUGAAACUUACUCUGAGCCAUCUAACAGAACAACGGAAAGGUAAGUCUCAAUACCCUGACUUUUCUAGAUGUGGUAACUGAUGAGUUAAAGGAAGUAAAUGUAAAUUCCUUAAGGGCACUGUGUCACAGUGUGACAAACUCAUGUGACAGUGUUCAAACUCGUGUGUCUGAGUCCAUAUUCCCUUUAAUAUCCCACUAUGACAGUCAUGUUGUCUUGUAAUUUAGUGGCUGUAAAAGGCACACACAUCAUGACCAACUGACAAAAACAUCACUGUGAUACCUUAGAAGCUGUUUUCCUUAUUUGGAAAAUGAGGAAUGGUUGUGGCAGACCAUGAUUUCAAAGACCCUUUCCAGCUCUAAAAAAUGUAUAAUUUUAAAUACCUUCAAAUAGGCCAAUUUAAGAUUAGAGAAAGGAAAAUCACAAAGUAAGAGGGCCUACUCAGGGGACCUGACGGGCUCAGUCUGAAGAGUAUAUGAUUCUCAAUCUCAGGGACAUGAGUUUGAGCCCCACGUUGCAUGUAGAAAUUACCUAAAUUAAAAAAAAAAAACCAACUUAAAAAAAUAAGGCCUACUUAACAUUUUUUAUUGACUGAACAAAGAGCUUCCACUUUUAUUAGUGAUGUUGAGUAAUAGUGCAUUAAAAUCUACACACAUGCUGGUCUUCCCUUCUUGUAUUAAGUGGUAAAGACUUGGACUUAAUCAGUAUU